GGCUCAGGACGAACGCUGGCGGCGUGCCUAAUACAUGCAAGUAGAACGCUGAAGACUUUAGCUUGCUAAAGUUGGAAGAGUUGCGAACGGGUGAGUAACGCGUAGGUAACCUGCCUACUAGCGGGGGAUAACUAUUGGAAACGAUAGCUAAUACCGCAUAACAGCUUUUAACUCAUGUUAGGAGCUUGAAAGGUGCAAUUGCAUCACUAGUAGAUGGACCUGCGUUGUAUUAGCUAGUUGGUGAGGUAACGGCUCACCAAGGCGACGAUACAUAGCCGACCUGAGAGGGUGAUCGGCCACACUGGGACUGAGACACGGCCCAGACUCCUACGGGAGGCAGCAGUAGGGAAUCUUCGGCAAUGGGGGCAACCCUGACCGAGCAACGCCGCGUGAGUGAAGAAGGUUUUCGGAUCGUAAAGCUCUGUUGUAAGAGAAGAACGUGUGUGAGAGUGGAAAGUUCACACAGUGACGGUAACUUACCAGAAAGGGACGGCUAACUACGUGCCAGCAGCCGCGGUAAUACGUAGGUCCCGAGCGUUGUCCGGAUUUAUUGGGCGUAAAGCGAGCGCAGGCGGUUUAAUAAGUCUGAAGUUAAAGGCAGUGGCUUAACCAUUGUUCGCUUUGGAAACUGUUAGACUUGAGUGCAGAAGGGGAGAGUGGAAUUCCAUGUGUAGCGGUGAAAUGCGUAGAUAUAUGGAGGAACACCGGUGGCGAAAGCGGCUCUCUGGUCUGUAACUGACGCUGAGGCUCGAAAGCGUGGGGAGCAAACAGGAUUAGAUACCCUGGUAGUCCACGCCGUAAACGAUGAGUGCUAGGUGUUAGGCCCUUUCCGGGGCUUAGUGCCGCAGCUAACGCAUUAAGCACUCCGCCUGGGGAGUACGACCGCAAGGUUGAAACUCAAAGGAAUUGACGGGGGCCCGCACAAGCGGUGGAGCAUGUGGUUUAAUUCGAAGCAACGCGAAGAACCUUACCAGGUCUUGACAUCCCGAUGCUAUUCCUAGAGAUAGGAAGUUUCUUCGGAACAUCGGUGACAGGUGGUGCAUGGUUGUCGUCAGCUCGUGUCGUGAGAUGUUGGGUUAAGUCCCGCAACGAGCGCAACCCCUAUUGUUAGUUGCCAUCAUUAAGUUGGGCACUCUAGCAAGACUGCCGGUAAUAAACCGGAGGAAGGUGGGGAUGACGUCAAAUCAUCAUGCCCCUUAUGACCUGGGCUACACACGUGCUACAAUGGUUGGUACAACGAGUCGCGAGUCGGUGACGGCAAGCAAAUCUCUUAAAGCCAAUCUCAGUUCGGAUUGUAGGCUGCAACUCGCCUACAUGAAGUCGGAAUCGCUAGUAAUCGCGGAUCAGCACGCCGCGGUGAAUACGUUCCCGGGCCUUGUACACACCGCCCGUCACACCACGAGAGUUUGUAACACCCGAAGUCGGUGAGGUAACCUUUUAGGAGCCAGCCGCCUAAGGUGGGAUAGAUGAUUGGGGUGAAGUCGUAACAAGGUAGCCGUAUCGGAAGGUGCGGCUGGAUCACCUCCUUUCUAAGGAUAAACGGAAGCACGUUUGGAGUAUUGUUUAGUUUUGAGAGGUCUUGUGGGGCCUUAGCUCAGCUGGGAGAGCGCCUGCUUUGCACGCAGGAGGUCAGCGGUUCGAUCCCGCUAGGCUCCAUUGAAUCGAAAGAUUCAAAGAUUGUCCAUUGAAAAUUGAAUAUCUAUAUCAAAUUCCACGAUUCAAGAAAUUGAAUUGUAGAUAGUAACAAGAAAUAAACCGAAACGCUGUGAUUUAAUGAGUUUAAGGUCAACAGACCAAAAUAAGGUUAAGUUAAUAAGGGCGCACGGUGGAUGCCUUGGCACUAGAAGCCGAUGAAGGACGUGACUAACGACGAAAUGCUUUGGGGAGUUGUAAGUAAACAUUGAUCCAGAGAUGUCCGAAUGGGGGAACCCGGCAUGUAAUGCAUGUCACUCAUUACUGUUAAGGUAAUGUAGAGGAAGACGCAGUGAACUGAAACAUCUAAGUAGCUGCAGGAAGAGAAAGCAAACGCGAUUGCCUUAGUAGCGGCGAGCGAAAAGGUAAGAGGGCAAACCGAUGUGUUUACACAUCGGGGUUGUAGGACUGCGUUGUGGGACGACAAGAUUAUAGAAGAAUUACCUGGGAAGGUAAGCCAAAGAGAGUAAUAGCCUCGUAUUCGAAAUAGUCUUUAACCCUAGCAGUAUCCUGAGUACGGCGAGACACGAGAAAUCUCGUCGGAAUCUGGGAGGACCAUCUCCUAACCCUAAAUACUCUCUAGUGACCGAUAGUGAACCAGUACCGUGAGGGAAAG
rnacentral:rRNA from 1 species